UACGUAGGGUGCAAGCGUUGUCCGGAAUUAUUGGGCGUAAAGAGCUCGUAGGCGGUCUGUCGCGUCGGCUGUGAAAUCCCGAGGCUCAACCUCGGGUCUGCAGUCGAUACGGGCAAACUGGAGUGUUGCAGGGGAGACUGGAAUUCCUGGUGUAACGGUGAAAUGCGCAGAUAUCAGGAGGAACACCGGUGGCGAAGGCGGGUCUCUGGGCAACAACUGACGCUGAGGAGCGAAAGCGUGGGGAGCGAACAGG
rnacentral:rRNA from 1 species